GUGAGUCAUCGCUGUGUUAUGGGCUCUCAAGGACAGGAGGGUGGAGCAGGCAGAGAGGAAAAAAACAACAACUGGCAGGCUUCAGUUCUUCAUUUACCGUUAAUUUCACUUAUUUUGUUCAGUCUGGUUUUCAUGACACGUCAUAAUCCCAGGAGUAGAAUGGUCCAUGUGCGACACAUGGUAAACUGUUAGUGUUCCCCUGUGGACUGGAGCUGAGAUGUCUGCACCCCUGGCACUCCUUCAUUUUGACAACCUGUGAGUGAAAGCCCUUCACACAGUGUGUAAACAGGCAGCUGCAGAGUUACAUGAAGAAUCAACAGAGGGAGGGCGUUGGCCACAGGCUGCAGGAAUCCUGGCCUCUCAUGCUACUAGAAGACCCUGAGCUCUGCUGGAGAGAUAACAAGACUACUCCAUAAUAAAUAAGUUUAGCUUUGUGCGUUUGUGUAACCUGUCCUCUUUCCAGGUUACAUGGUGAAGAGGAGGAGGUGUGGCUCAGGCGCUGGGUGUUUACCGACACCAGGAAGUAGCUUAACAUCCCCCUGGAUCCAUUCUCUUUGUAAAUAUUUAUAUUCUAUGUAUCAUUUUAUCACAUGGAUUGAUUACGUUGUAAUUUUAUUAUGUUGUCUGUCCAUCCUGGGAAAUGAAUCCCUCCUCAGUUGCUCUGUCUGAGGCUUCUGCUUGAGUUUUUCUUAUCUGAAGCGAGGAUCUGAGGACAGAGGGUGUCAUAUGCUGUUCAUAUUGUAAAGCUGUUCUACCAUAUUCUAAUUUAAUAAAUACUUCAUGAACAUAGCUGAGUUUUAACUUUGACAUUUUCCUGACAGAAUGAACCCCAACCUCCCCUGAGCUCACAGUAUUUAAUGUAGUGUCUUUUGUUUUUCUCUCUUACUCAUCAUGUCUGCCUCUGACUUGUCGUCAUACACAGGUCUUCCUGUGGUGAGGAAGAUAAAGAGGAUAAAAAUAAUGCUGUGCUGCAAACCAGUAAAGGAUUAGUCCUUUAGUUGCUUUGUAUUAGAUCAGUCCCCCUGCCACUCAAAGAUGUGUUACACUCACUAUCUCUUCACUUGAAUGUUUGAGCUUCACUGUGUAGAGUUUGACACUAGAAGGCUGUUUUAACGUUUAUCUGCUGAAAGUUUCUCUGAGCUCACCUUAAAUUUGAGUUUAAGGUGUUUACCCAUGUGAUAUUACAAUGAGGUUAAAAGUCAAUCAUGGUUCAACAUUCUUACUAUAAUGAUGGAAACUCUGUCUGUGGGUGUGUGUUUGUUCCACAUUUUUCUCCUCACUGACUUGGUCAAUCCAUGUGAAAUUUGGCACAGUGGUUGAGGGUCAUGGGAGGAUGCGAAUGAAGCAAUAUUACAUCAAUUGGCCAAAUUAGCCACCGACUGAAAUUGCAAACUUUGAAUGGGCAAAUCUCAUGCCCUGUAGAGACAUGAAACUUUGCCCAGAGAUGCCUCUCCUCAUGAGGAACAAAUUUGCCUCAAGAACCCAUAACUUCUGGUUAUAUAGAUUUUCCGCCAUUUUGAAUUUUUUGAAAAACACUUAAAAUCGAUCUCUUCCUAGGAAGUUUGACCGAGCUGCAUGAAACUCGGUGAACAUAAUCUAGGGACCAAUAUCUAAAGUUCCCUCUUGGCAAAACUUACUAAAACUGAGCUUCUAUAAGGCAAUGAAUAUUGCGGAGGGCGUGGCUCAUCACAUAAAGGUGUAUAACAUCUCAAGGGUUUCACCCAUCACCACGCAACUUUGUAGGCAUAUGACCACACAUAAUCUGAGGGAACCCCUCCAUUAUUGACCCCAUCAAACAAAAUGGGGGCGCUAGAGAGCUAAUUUCUUAUCUAGGCCUAACCGCCAUAUCAAUUUUUACUAAACUAGGUAGAUAUGUAGAACAGGACACCUCAAGGUGACUGGAGAAAUUUAACUCUAACUGGCAACUGGGUGGCGCUAUAACAACAGAAAAAUGCUUAAAAAUGGCUAAAAUGCGACCGAUCGCUGUGGCUCCCCCUGUGGCCCAAUGCUGUUGCUUUUUCUUCUUAUUUCUGGUAUGACUAAAUCAUGGUAUGGUAUGCUGUACAUAAUCAUGGAAACUGUCAGUGUGUCAUUCUGUCAGUCACUCAUUCUGUCUGUCCCAUGUUUUUCAACUCACUGACGUGGUCAAUCUAUGUAAACUGCACAUAGGCAUUUAGGAUUGGCAUAGGUAGAAGGUGACAAAGCUACCAAUGGGUAUGGACACUUAAAUGUGUGAUGUAGACACUUGAAGCCUCCAUUGCAUGACUGCAGAGUUUUAUCUUUUCAUCUUGUGUCUGUAGUUUAAAUACUGAAACAAUUAAUGUUUGCAUUUCGAAAGAUUCUGGAUUUUUUUUUAUUUAUCUGAGACUGGAUUUUUUUUUUUUUUUUGCCAACAACCACUUCUCUUUAGAACAAAUGUAGUUUGUAAACUGUCCACAAGAGGGUGUCAGCAGCCAGAGGAUAAACUUGACCUGAUAACCUAUGGAUAUACUGUAUAAAGACAAAAGCGGAUAAAGUCAUAACCCAGCAGUUACACGCAAGAAGAAGACAUGUUGUGUCCUGCAGUUUCAUUUAAUGAAAAGUUAAAUUAAUUAAAAUGUAUAUCCAUAGCCCUUUAAUGCCCUCAUUAAGAAACUUGCAGUAGAAAUAUUUUUGUAUUUUUUAUUUCCUUGGGGCAAUAAUAAACUAAAUCAGUGUUCAUUUUUUAACAGACCCCAUAGUUUUUUUUGUUUUGUUUAAACAGAAAAUUAAAAAUUACUAAUCAUGUACUGUAAUAAUGCUUAUAAUAUGCUAUAAUACCAAUAUAUAUAUCAAUUUGUGAUCAUGGAAUUAGUAGUAUUACCAGUACUAGUAUUAUUUUUACAUAUGUAGGCCUAUUCAACAUAUAUUUACCAUUACAGUACUUUGAAAGCAUCUCAGAAAUUGUGAAAAAAAU